rnacentral:rRNA from 1 species
UCAAAAACAUGUCCUUUUGUUAAUAAUUUAAGGUCUGACCUGCCCAAUGAUUAUUUAAAUGGCCGCAGUAUACUGACUGUGCAAAGGUAGCAUAAUCAUUAGUUUUUUAAUUGUAAGCUGGAAUGAAUGGUUUGAUGAGAGAAUAACUGUCUCAAUUUAAUUGUUUUAGAAUUUUAAUUUUAAGUGAAAAAGCUUAAAUUUUAAAUGAAGACGAGAAGACCCUAUAGAGUUUAAUAUUUCUAUAUUAUGAUUGAUUUUAGUUUUAUUUAAAAUUUUAAUUUGGAAUUAUUUUAUUGGGGUGAUAUUAAAAUUUAAUAAACUUUUAAUUUAUUGUAACAUUUUUUUUUGAUUAUUUGAUCCUGAUUUUUAGAUUAUAAGAUAAAAUUACCUUAGGGAUAACAGCGUAAUUUUUUUUAAGAGUUCUUAUCGAAAAAAAAGUUUGCGACCUCGAUGU